UACGUAGGGUGCAAGCGUUUGUCCGGAAUUAUUGGGCGUAAAGGGCUCGUAGGCGGUUUGUCGCGUCGGGAGUGAAAUCCACUGGCUUAACUGGUGGCUUGCUUUCGAUACGGGCAGACUGGAGGUAUGCAGGGGAGAACGGAAUUCCUGGUGUAGCGGUGAAAUGCGCAGAUAUCAGGAGGAACACCGGUGGCGAAGGCGGUUCUCUGGGCCGAUACUGACGCUGUAGAGCGAAAGCGUGGGGAGCGAACAGG
rnacentral:rRNA from 1 species